rfam:Triticum urartu cultivar G1812 contig519361, whole genome shotgun sequence.
UUUGUACUCCCUCCGUCCCAAAAUUGUUGUCUUAAAUUUGUGUAUAUACGGAUGUAUCUAGUUACAUUUUAGUGUUAGAUACAUCCGUAUCUAAACAAAUGUAAGACA